CCUACGGGAGGCAGCAGUGGGGAAUUUUGGACAAUGGGCGAAAGCCUGAUCCAGCCAUUCCGCGUGAGUGAAGAAGGCCUUCGGGUUGUAAAGCUCUUUCGCAAGGGAAGAAAACUUAGAUACUAAUAUUAUCUGAGGUUGACGGUACCUUGAUAAGAAGCACCGGCUAACUACGUGCCAGCAGCCGCGGUAAUACGUAGGGUGCGAGCGUUAAUCGGAAUUACUGGGCGUAAAGCGUGCGCAGGCGGUUUUGUAAGUCAGAUGUGAAAUCCCCGAGCUCAACUUGGGAACUGCGUUUGAAACUACAAGACUAGAAUAUGUCAGAGGGGGGUAGAAUUCCACGUGUAGCAGUGAAAUGCGUAGAGAUGUGGAGGAAUACCAAUGGCGAAGGCAGCCCCCUGGGAUAAUAUUGACGCUCAUGCACGAAAGCGUGGGGAGCAAACAGGAUUAGAUACCCUGGUAGUCCACGCCCUAAACGAUGUCUACUAGUUGUUGGUGGAGUAAAAUCCAUGAGUAACGCAGCUAACGCGUGAAGUAGACCGCCUGGGGGAGGUACGGUCGGUCGAGAAGUUAAACUUAACGUAAAGAAAGUUAGUAGGCGNGNGAGNGCGACGGACGACGACGAGGAGGAGG
rnacentral:rRNA from 1 species